rnacentral:rRNA from 1 species
AACGUAGGUGGCAAGCGUUAUCCGGAAUUACUGGGCGUAAAGGGUGUGCAGGCGGGGUUGCAAGUGGUGUAUGAAAUAUCCCAGCUUAACUGGGAGGGGUUAUGCCAGACUGCAACUCUAGAGGACGAGAGAGGGGGGUGGAAUUCCGGGUGUAGUGGUGAAAUGCGUAGAGAUCCGGAGGAACCCCAGAGGCGAAGGCGGCCCCCUGGCGCGUACCUGACGCUCAGCCACGAAAGCAUGGGGAGCGAACGGG